rnacentral:lncRNA from 1 species
GGAAGUUCAACUAACUCCAAAGUAUAGUUUCUUUGGGUGCUCCUUAAAAGGAUAAUGGAUCACAAUAUGAAAAGAGAGCAAAGUGAGCAAGUGGGUCACUAGAUUAAUGAAUUCUUCUAACUUCAUAAUCACUCAUCCAUGCAUGUAUUCUUCUAUUGUGUGCUGGUAUGAUCUCUCUGGUGGUUGUUGGAGGUUAUGGAGCCGCACCUUGUGCAUCUUGUGUGGUAAAUAUUUGUUGCUUUUCUGAUUUAUUUUCAUCAUCAAAAUCUGUAAGAAUAUGUUGUUUUGCUGUAUCUUCAUUCCAUUGGUAAAAUCUUUCUUCAUCAAAAACGAGAUAUGGAAUUAUAAUGAUUUUAUUAGUGCUAAGAUUAUAAUACUGAUAAGUCUUUGAAUAAUCACUAACACCCAGAAAAACAGUUUUUCUCCUUUGCUGUCCAGUUUCUUUCUCCAAUGCUCAGAAACAAGUGCAUAUGCAAUACAUCAAAAAAUUCUGAAGUGAUUGACAUAUGGUUUUCUUUCAGUCCAUGCUUCUUUUGGUGUCAUAUUUUGAUCUGCUAAGGUUGAGCUCCUAUUCAGAAUGCUCCAACUAACUACUUCAUGAUUUUUUUUUGUGGAACCUUACUUUGUUGUGUUGGGUACCGUUGCUCGGUUAACAAACAAAUUUUACAAAUUUUCUCAUUGUUUAAUCGAUUAACCACAUAUAUAACCGAUUAACUUGUUCUGCAUAUAAUCGAUUAACUAAAGAACCUAAUUGAUUAUUCAAUUCUUGUUCUUUGAAAACAGUUUUCUUUGAUCUUAAAGAUUACCAAGAUUCAACUAAACAUAUAUGCACUCUUACAGAUGAUUAAGCACAGUAAAUGCAUAGAACAUAAUAUGCAACUAACUCAGAAUAACAUGCAUGUCAAGUUAAGUAAAUCAAGUAAUAUGGAAAUGUAAAGAGUUAAGGAUUGAGAAGAAUGAGACACAACUUUUAUCCUGGUUCAUUUGCUUGUCCACGUGCAAACUACAUCCAGGCCUCCCCUUCUGAUCUUGGGAGAUUUUUAUUCACUAUGAAAUUGACACCAAUGUAUUUACAAACACACUUUCCAAUUGUACACUUCUACAACUGCACCUUUCUUGAACUCUAAGCCAAGCAAUGCGACUUAACCUCUCUCGCCUUUUUCGGAUACCUCACCUACUCGCGAUUUGUCCUAGUCCAUUCUUGCUUCUCUCAAGACCCUUGUAUAAUGCGGUGAAGAUAACUACCGAACGACAGAUAGGAUGUUCCCAAACCAAUCCUCUACCAAUGGUGAUAUUAAACACACUAAAAGAAUAUGUUUAUGCUAAUGUCUAAACUAAAACAAGUUGUUGCACCUGUGUGCGCUGAAUAUACACUCUUCCAGAUUCUAGGAACCCUUCUACAAGUCUCACAAACUCAGAAUAUAGAAAUAUGAGAUGCAAGGUUUCUUUGCAAGAUUUGACAAUUAUGCUUCUUUGAAAAUCUUUCUGAAGAUUCAUAAUGAUUCUCCCUUUUCUCUCUUUUUCAAAAAACACUUUGAAAAUCUCUCUUUGGAUAUGAAAGUGUAAGAAAAAUGUUAUUUUCGAAAAAAUGUGUAAUCAAUGUGUUUUUCGUUAUUGUGUGUUGUUUUUAGCAAAAAAGAAAAACUUGGGUUAAUAUACAAUUCUGUUUUCUGGUGCAGGUAAUCGAUUAACACUUCAUUUAAUCGAUUACUGAUUCUUUAAAAUUCAAGAAACCAGAAAUUGUAACUAACAUUAAUCAAUUAAACCCAUACUUAAUCGAUUAACGGGUUCCCAAUUUUUCACUGCUUAAUCGAUUAAAAUAACACUUAACCGAUUAGCGAGUUUUUGAAAAAGAUAAUUCGAUGUGAUAUGAACCUCCUACAUGAUUUGUAAAAGUAUGAUGCAUGAUUUUAAAUGAUAUAUAAUUUAAAACUCUUUUUAAAAUAUACAAUUCUGUUUUCUGGUGCAUGUAAUUGAUUAACACUUCAAUUAAUCGAUUACCGAUUCUUUAAAAUUCAAGAAACCAUAAAUUGUAACUAACAUUAAUCAAUUAAACCCAUACUUAAUCAAUUAAUGGGUUCCCAAUUUUUCACUACUUAAUCGAUUAAAAUAACACUUAACUGAUUAACGGGUUUUUGAAAAAGAUAAUUAGAUGUGAUAUGAAUCUCCUACAUGAUUUGUAAAAGUAUGAUGCAUGAUUUUGAAUGAUGUAUGAUUUAAAACUCUUUUUAAAUGCAUCGAAAUCAUGUGAUCAUUUAUUAUGCAUGUGCAUGUAAAUCAUGUACGUACAUGCAAGUCUAAUUUUAGUUAAGAUUGAUUUUAGCUUGUGAGACUUCCAUUAGGAUUGAUCCUAGCCUAGACUUUUUCUAAGAAAACAUCUUAAGACCUAAUAAAGAUAUAAAAAUACUUCGCCUCUAGAUCUUGUUGAAUACUUUAGCUUGUGUGAACUUGAGUCUUGACUUUUGACUUUGUUGUUGAUUUUAUUGUUUGUUGAUUUGUUCAUGUCUUCAAGCAUGUCCUUGAUAUACAACAUUUGUCUUCAUCAAUCUUUGUUUUCAAUCUUUGUCUUUAUCAAAAUUUGUCUUCAUCAACCUUUGUCUUCAUCAAAAUUUAUGUGAUGCAUGCUUGCACAAACAAUUGGCUCUUUCAUGCAUGCUUGCAUAUACAAUCUGCUCAUUCAUGCAUGCUUUCACAUACAAUAUGCUUGUUCAUGCAUGCUCGCAUUUAUAAUCUCCCCCUUUUUGAUGAUGACAAACAAUUGGACCUGCUUGAUGAUAAUCAACUCUGUUUCAAAAUUUUCCUUGUUGUAAGUUGAUGCACAUUUCUCCCUCUUGCUCCCCCUCACUCUUAGUAUAGAGUACUGGAUGUAACCUUCGAUGGACAAGAAGACGAAACAAUAUAAAAGCUCUUUGUGUACUCUUCUUAUACUUAUUCUUCUCAUUUACUUUUGCUUUAUUUGGUUGAAUUCUACAUAAAUAAUCCGCUCCACGUAAAAUUUGAUAACAUAGUAAAAACAUCAGCCAUGUUCUCCUAACAACUAAUUCACCCCCUCUUAGUUGGCAUCUUAAACUUACAAUUGGCACCC